GGACAGCGAUAUUCUGGACACCCUGGCAUUCAUUUAUGAGGAGGAGGAGGAAACGCAGUUGGUUUGGGGAGGAAGGGGCAGUGACUAACCCUGUCCCUGUGACUCUUUGAGUGGAGAGGCGCGGUGUCACGAGCAGAGACCAGAGAGAGACUGUAUAAGAGCUCAACCCAGCUAGCAGAGUACUCUCUCUGAGUGUCUGUAUGAACGGUGUGUAGUGGUAGAGGUGUCUGGAAUACAGACAGCAUGUUGAUCUGACGAUUGUUGAAUUGUCCUUCUCCCUGUUUGCAGCCCACCCUCUCCGGGGUGUCUAGAGAUGUAGAGAUCAGUGUGAGGAGCACAGCCCCAUCUUUCCCAGCAGCACUUUCUCACCAAGAGGUAACAUUAUGUGUGUGUGUGUGUCACUGUUUGCUUCUCACUGUAUGUUUAUAUCUCUGUGUGUUCCUGUGUGUUAGAUACUGUAUUCAGAGAGAAGGGGAGAAGCAGGGUGUGCCAGGGCUCAUUUAAAAAAGGAUUGCUAUGUGAAUGUGACUUCCCUGGUUAAAUCAUGGUUAAAAAAGAGAAGGCGAGCGAUUGAGAUAUUCCUGGUCAGGUGGUAUGACGUGCUAGUGAUCCAUCUUAAAGGAACUGGUGCCUGGGGUCACCUGGAUUCACCUGCUCCUGACUCCUAACCUUUCUCUGUCCCUGUAGAGAAGCAGGGAAACCCCCCAACUCUCUGUUCCCUCUCGGGAGUCUCUGUGGUUGAGUCUUCUCAAACUACCUCUCCUCUCACAGAGUGGAUACAGGCCGGCUCUGUCUGUGAUCUCAGACGAUGGUCGGUGUGUGCUUUGUGUGUUUAAAGUGUAUUAGGUGUAUCUGCUCUGAGGGUGAGCAUCAACUGUAUACCAUACACUGUCUCUCGCAGUAAAGGAGGGAACCACAGAGGAAGUGGUGAGAUGUGUGUGUUUCUCACUACCUACAGCGGUGUCUUGUAUUGGAUGACACUGCAUCUGAUGUAACCAAAAUAAGAUUCAGUAAAAUGUCCCUAUCAUUUCCCAUCAGACACCAGCCAAAGCUUCAGACUGAGAAAUAAUGGUUUUCAAAUACCUGCGAAUCAGAUACAGUCGCUAUUCAAUUAUACUGAAUAUCUAUUUCUUGUUUUAGCUACAGUACAUCAAAACAGACCCUGGAUCAGAAAAGUCAGU
rnacentral:lncRNA from 1 species